rnacentral:lncRNA from 1 species
UUCUUGCGGUGAUUACUGCCCUUGGUUAUUACCUGAGGGCGUUGCAAGAGCCUUAUUUACACCGCCAAGUUGAGAAUUUAAAAACAUUUUUAAAAAUAGGUUUAUCUGCGUAUCCUGGUGAAGUUAGGAUGCAGAGAACUUGGAGCGGUUGUUUUCUACCAGACACGAGGAUCCCUGUGAAAGGCUACUCCUAGUCUACUCCUAACUAGGACUUUCCCCAGUCACCCUACUCACAGGGCUCAAAAAGAGGAGGGAUUUGUUUGCUGAGUUGAUGGUUUCUGAAACUGUUUCUGAAAUUCUGAUCAUAGCAACAGGAAAUUGAAGGCAAGAUACUAGAAAUAAGGGCAAAUUA